AGGAUGCACUAGCUCAGACUUGCCUGAUCUGUUUCCACCUAUGUCCUUUCACAGUCUCUUUUUCUGAGCCAUUUGGGAAGCUUCCUUAUCUGCACAUUGCUCUGUAAGGGUUACUUAUCAUUUGAAAUCUCCCAGGGAAAACAGCACUGUGUAGAAAGAACAAGGAACAACCAAUUAAAGUUCAGGUUUAAACUGGCACAACAAAGAUGACCAAUAUCUCUGAUGUCCCUCCCUGGAUUUGGAAUCUGGAUGAUUUUAGAGAGAAUACCAAGAAGGUGAAGGAGAACAACUAGGAAUGAAGCACUGGGAAAUAUGGGAUCAGAGAUCGAGCUAAGGGAGGAGCUGGGGAGAAAAAGCAUCCCAGAAAUGACUGUGUGGAGCCCAUAAAGAUGCAGCUGAGUGCCAGAUCAGGCGAUGGAAGGGCAGAGUGGGAACGGGGGAGGGAACGGGAAGUUUUGGCAUGUGUUGAGAUAAGCCUCUAUGGGAUGGGUAGGACAGGAUGUGAAUAGAAGAGGAAGAUGUUUUGGUAGCUUCUGUUGCUGUGUGGAGUUCAGCAUCAUUUCUGGCAGCAAGCUGGAAAGCAUUUAAAUGCUAAGCUUUCAACUAAAAAUUCUCAUUAAGUAGAGGUCCAGUAACCCCCUCUGAAGGUUAAAGCAAAAACACCAAACAAGGCAGCAUUUCCCCCACUGUUUUUUAUGUAAGUGCAGCUAAUGGAACUGAACUUGGAGGGAAUACUAACUUGAACUUUUUUGUUUUCUUUCCUUGAACAGGAACUCAGCACAAGCUGGUUUUUAAUUUGAAGUUUUACUACUUUGGAACAGCUUUAGUCACUGCUGAACCCAAAUGAGAAUAAAACUGAAUAACUAACAUAUUUGACUGUCUAAGUAGAUGUAAAAAUUCAGGAUCAGUUUGUAACAGUUGUGUUUUCUGCAUUUUUUGUUUUGAUCCCACUUUUCAUUCAUCCUGCCCAGAUUUCUUCCAGGCUCCUGCUUUGGAUCAGGUGAUGCUGUAGAUUGCAGAAGACCUUCUGGUGGGAUGAGUUGGAGAGAAUUCUUGUUGGGGUUUAGACUGUGUGAAUGGCAUUCCUCAGAGUCCUCUUUUUUGAUACUGCUCAAUUGCUGCUUCCAUCCUCACAACAAGCUUCAAGAAGGGUGCAGAGGAAUGACCUACCUGCCUCCCAGACACUAGGGAGAACAUCUCUCCAUGUUGUGCUGUGCUGCAAAGUCAGCUGUCCUCACUGCCUAACUCUCAGAUGAGCACUGCUGGGACAAGCCACUUGGAAAAACAGCUUGGAUCCUUCUUUUAGUUCACUGAUGUCUCCCUAUGUCUGGAAUGCCAACACCCUCGUGGUCUCCAGAGGCUGAACCCCCCUUCGCCAGAGAUCUGCUGUCCAAACCAGCACGCUGUGUUAUGCCAACCCAGUGCCUUGUCAGCAUGGCAGACAGCUGUAGUCAGAAUACAAGGCUUUUGUGUUCCAACCAGCCCCUCAUCUCUCAGGUUUUAUUCCACUUCUUUGAGCAGUGGACACAUUCCUGCCAGUCUCAGUGUUUUAAUUUAAUUUGGGCACAGACUAUAUAAAAUUGAACAUGUGUCUGAAAGCAGUGAAGAGAAGACCAUAAAAUGAACCAAGUGCUCAGCUCCAUUUGAACCGAGCAAUGUUGUAUUAUUUUUUUUGUCCCCAUUGCCACUAAAGUCUCGUGUGACUUGGAGGUGUGUGGCAAGAGGAUCCAACAUGGGGAGAGGAGGUAUUUUUCACAGAGAUCUAAAAGUGGAAAACAUUUUUGUUAAAAGCAGUGACAUCAAUGAAGUAAAUGAAGUGAAAUUAAACAUAAAGGCAAGAUGAAAAUUGUAGCAGUUUGGCUUCAAGAAUCAUUUUUAAUAUCCAGAGGAGAAUAACUCCUGAAUGACUUCAACGGGAGGAGAGGAAAACACAGAACCAAGUCUCAAAGCUGGUGUGGCCAGCAGCAAUUAAAGUGACUACAGGAAAGGAAAGGUCCAUCCCACAAUCCCAUGAAGUUAUCAGUGCCUGUGACUACAGCCAACAGUCUGACAUUUGGAGCACAGGUGUCAUUAUGUACAUGCUAUCAUUAAGGAUACAGUCAGUGUAAAAGCAAGCAGAUGACACAGAAAGAUUAAAUUGAACAUACAGAAAGCUUGGGAGAAAAGCUUUUAAACUAAUAACAAGGGAAGACCUCUGCUUUGAAAAAUUUGGUCUGCGAGACGAUUACCAAGGCUGAUCAGAAGAAAGUCAAGCCUGUUGAGGAGAAAAAAGUUCUCCACUUGUCUGAAGUUUCCUGCAUCCUGAGUUUCAACAGAAGUAGAAAUUAAUUUUAGUGUAUAAAUUCACAUGAAAGUGGAAAUGCGUGACAUCAUAUACCCCAAAAAGGUCCUUGUUGCCUGACUAGACCUCUGUGUGUAGUACAGUGUUAUAAAUACUCAGUUGUCAUGAGAAAGAAUUGGCCUCACAGGAGCAUUUAAACCAUUUUAAAAUGCCUCAAGGCAAAUCCUGGCCUGGAUGAGCUUGCAGUUACACCAAGGACUCCUGUGAAAUGCUCACAGUUUACAAGGGGUGAGGAUCUGAGGAUCUGUCCUCUACAGUUUAAAGACAGGGUGGAUCACCACAUGAGAAGAAUUUCAGGAUUUACUUCUCUAACCAAUCACUGAGUUCCUGGGUUUGCUCUUGCACAUUUUAGGCAACAGACUGUUUUUCUUUAGAGAAUGUGUUCAGCAGGAAAAAAGUAAUGUGUUCCAAUGUGCAGGGAUAAUCAAGGAAAGAUCAAGGCAUCGCCCAGCAAGCUUAAAAGGAACUGGAGCCUAAAAGUCAUUAAACCUCAUGGUUUUGCCUAGCUAGGCUUAACACUAUGGGCUCUGAGGAGCAGGAAUUGUAAUUUUCUAAGGCUUUGCAGAGCACUUGUUGCAAUCUGAGCUGGCUUGAGCCUAAGGCACUGAUGCAAUGUAAGCACUGAGGUCAGUAAAAUCAUAGUAACAGUCAUGGUGGUUUAAAAUGCUCUGGCUCAAUUAUGGCAGUAAAUCCAAGUCUAGAGAUAGCAGCUCUUCAUUUAUGGGCACACAGGUAUGUCAUAAUUGUCUGCAAUAAAGUAUGAUGGAAAUGAAGAUGGCAACACUUUACCUCCUGCUUUGUGGAGCAAACUGGUGAAUUUUUUUUUCAUUUAUACCUAUUGUGUGGUUUCUGUGCUGUUUCUAACACGGGUUCUGGUUUUGUAUAUUUAGAAGUUUCAGUAAUCAAUACCUGGUAUGUUCUGGUUCAUUACAGCCACAGGGGUUAAUGAAUGACUAUUGUUUAUACAUUGUCUGAUGUUAAAGCUUAAUCCAUAUUUGAGUCUGAUGCCAGCUUUGUUUCCAGGAAGAAAGAACUGAGAUAAUGGCUAGGCAUAUUUUAAAAGAGAAUAGGGUUUUUAUAAUGGUUAUGGAUCAUUUUUAUACUUUGGUUAUCUAGAGUAUGUUGGACCUGUAUUCUUCAGGAUUGCCCAAAUCUGAUUACUUUUUUCCUCUUGCUUUAAUAAAAAGAAGAAUAAGUGCAUGAA